AGCGGCAGACGGGUGAGUAACGCGUGGGAAUCUACCUUAAGCUACGGGAUAACAGAGAGAAAUUUCUGCUAAUACCGUAUGUGGCCUAUGGGCGAAAGAUUUAUCGGCUUAAGAUGAGCCCGCGUUGGAUUAGCUAGUUGGUGGGGUAAAGGCCUACCAAGGCGACGAUCCAUAGCUGGUCUGAGAGGAUGAUCAGCCACACUGGGACUGAGACACGGCCCAGACUCCUGCGGGAGGCAGCAGUGGGGAAUAUUGGACAAUGGGCGGAAGCCUGAUCCAGCCAUGCCGCGUGAGUGAAGAAGGCCUUAGGGUUGUAAAGCUCUUUCACCGGUGAAGAUAAUGACGGUAACCGGAGAAGAAGCCCCGGCUAACUUCGUGCCAGCAGCCGCAGUAAUACGAAGGGGGCUAGCGUUGUUCGGAUUUACUGGGCGUAAAGCGCGCGUAGGCGGAUAGAUAAGUCAGAGGUGAAAUCCCGGGGCUCAACCCCGGAAUUGCCUUUGAUACUGUUUAUCUUGAGUGCAGAAGAGGUAAGUGGAAUUCCGAGUGUAGAGGUGAAAUUCGUAGAUAUUCGGAGGAACACCAGUGGCGAAGGCGGCUUACUGGUCUGCAACUGACGCUGAGGCGCGAAAGCGUGGGGAGCAAACAGGAUUAGAUACCCUGGUAGUCCACGCCGUAAACGAUGGAAGCCAGCCGUUGGCAGAUUUAUCUGUCGGUGGCGCAGCUAACGCAUUAAGCUUCCCGCC
rnacentral:rRNA from 2 species